rnacentral:rRNA from 1 species
GACGAACGCUGGCGGCGUGCUUAACACAUGCAAGUCGAACGGAAAGGCCCUGCUUUUGUUUGUUUCUCGAUUGGCGAACGGGUGAGUAACACGUGAGUAACCUGCCCUUGACUUUGUGAUAACUUCAGGAAACUGGGUCUAAUACCCGAUAGGAUCUCCUGCUGCAUGGUGUUGGUUGGAAAGUUUCGGCGGUUGGGGCUGGACUCGCGGCUUAUCAGCUUGUUGGUGUGGUAGUGGCUUACCAAGGCUUUGACGGGUAGCCGGCCUGAGAGGGUGACCGGCCACAUUGGGACUGAGAUACGGACCAGAAUCCUACGGGAGGCAGCAGUGGGGAAUAUUGCACAAUGGGCGGACGCCUGAGGCAGAAACGCCGCGUGCGGGAUGACGGCCUUCGGGUUGUAAACCGCUUUCGCCUGUGACGAAGCGUGAGUGACGGUAAUGGGUAAAGAAGCACCGGCUAACUACGUG